rnacentral:lncRNA from 1 species
AGAGGGUGAUGCCUGAGAAGGGACAGCAGCCCAGCCCCAUUCAGGGACACGUGGCCCUGAUUUGAGCUCCUGUGACAUCACGCUCCCUCCACUUAUCUUACAUGUCACAUCUCAAACAUUUAACAUUUUACAUCUCAAACAUUUCUUGAGGCCCUUACCCUCCCAUUCCCCCAAAUCAAUACGGCACUUAGGGGACACCAAGGCGCAGAGACACUUGCCCCAAAUCAUGCAGUAAUGCCCUGGUGCCACCGUGAACAGUGCUGAAGCUUCCUGACCCCUUGUCCAGGGGACCUGGCUGCCUUUUAUAGAAAGUUUCCACACACCUUCUAUUCCUAACCUCGAUCACAAGCAUCGCCGGCCCAGAUGCUCUGUGUCACCGGCUUAGUAACAUACCCCAUUUAGGAGCAUGAGCACAACUUGUUUGCAGUGGGAAUGAAUUAACUGAAUUCUAGAUAUUGUUUUUUGGCUGCCUUUUUUUGUUUGUUUUUAUUUCAAACACAGCUAACUAAUCAGGGCUGUGGACACCAAGAAUGCCAACUUUGAUUCUUCAAGGAAAAUCAGCAGCUGACCACACACCACCCUUCCUGGUCCUCCCCGAGAUGCCAAGAACAUCCAAAGUCUGCAGUUUUGAGGAAACUGAAGCUGAUCUGACACCACUUCCUUUUUCUCCAGAUGUUACCCUUCGGAUGCAUACCUCAAUCUGCCUGAAAAUCAUGGAAUUCUGGAGAUGGAAGGGACCUCAGAGAUUUUCUGGUUCUCUCUGUUCUGGUUGUAAGUGUUCUUACCACACACCACUCCCAACCAUGGGGAGCCUUUCCACCACUGAAGAGAGCUGGGGUUACUAAAGCCACAAUCAGCUUCUCUGCAACUUCUAACCAUUUGGCUAAGAUCAGUUUUUCUGAAACCACAAAGAAAAAAAAUCUACGAACAAGUACUAGCGUACCAAUGUUCACAGUAGCAUUAUUCACAAGUCAUAAGGUGGAAGCAACCCAAAUGUCCAUCAACAGAUGAAUAGGUAAACAACAUGCGGAAUAUACAUCCAAUGGAAUCCUCUUCAGCCUCAACAAGGAAGGAAAUUCCAGUGCAUGCUAUAACAUAGAUGGACCUCAAGGACACUGUGCUAAGUUAAUUAAGCUAGACACAAAAGGACAAAUGCUGUAUGACUCCACUUGUAUGAGGUCUCUUGAGUAGUCAGAAAGCAGAAUGGUGGCUGCCAGGAGCUGGGGGGGGGGGCAGGAAGAAUGGGGAGUUAUUGUUUAAUGGGAACAGAGUUUCUGUUUGGGAUGAUGAUAAAGUUCUAGAAAUUGAUAGCUGUGAUGGUCACACAACAUUGUGAAUAUAAUUAAUGCCACAGGACUGUAUAUUUAAAAAUGAUUAAAAUGGCAGAUUUUAUGUUAUGAUAAAAAAAUACAAAAAGAUAAAUCUACUCUCCCUUCAGGGGAAGACAGCCAUUCACCUAAAUCUUUUUCAGGCUAACAGUCUCCAGUUUUUUCUAACAAUCUUUAGGUGGUAUGAUUUCCAGGCCCCUGCAGCUUCCUGGCCACCCUCCUCUGGCUACACUUAAUGCCUCUUUGAAAACCUGGUACCCAGAACUGAAUGGUGGACUGCGCUCAGCUUCUCCUUCCAGGUCCCGCCCUGAGGCACCCGGCUUAACCCCCAAGUCAAACGCUGCACAGAGCAGGCCUGCUGCCUGCCCACUCUGGCUACCAGGCCAAAGGCCCAGGUCUGGAAGAAUAAAAAGAUGCCACCACCCUACUACCUUGCUGCUGCUCCAUCCCCAGACAGCUGUGGGCAGCUGCAGCUGAGAAGUGAAACUAACAACAGCAUCUGGGGGAGGGGGCGGCACCCAGCUGAGCCCUUUCCAUAGGUUUCCCGUUUCUGGUUGGGGGGGGGGGCGGGGGUGUCUGGCCAAUGGAAACAGGGCAGGCCCUCAGGGAUGCCUCUUAUCAGCAACCCACUGGAAGUCUGUAACCCCCUUCAUGGUACGGUGUGCAGGGCAGGGAUGGGAGGCACAGCUAGAUGUGUGCAGCCCCAGCCUAAGCCAGGCCUGUUGGGCACCACAAUGGGCUCACCCGCCUCGGUCCAUCUGGAAAAGGUUUGAAAGCUUGAGGCAGGAAAGUUCCCUUUUGCAUUUUAAAGUGUGUUGAAACUGAGUAGCCUGGGUGUUGGUCUCAUUCCACAAGUGAGUAAUCCAUUUCCUGAAAGUAAGCUGCUCCCCCUUUGGAAGUGGCCCAGCGAUUUGGGGGUGCUGUUAGAGGUGUCACUAACUCGGUAAAUAUUUAUUGGCACAAGCAAGGAGCUUUUCUAGGAAUAUCAGUUAAUUUGCUAAACUAAUGGCUUUAAGGUAGCACCCUUGAAAAAAAUUAAUUCCUUUCUGAUGGGUGAGCAAUUUAUGCCUGGGACAGGGCACCAGACAGGCAGUGUGUUUCACUUACUAGUUAGAAUAACCACAAAUAAAUUAAAACCAGGCCUGACUUUAAAA